UACGUAGGGUGCAAGCGUUGUCCGGAAUUAUUGGGCGUAAAGAGCUCGUAGGCGGUCUGUCACGUCGGCUGUGAAAUCCCGAGGCUCAACCUCGGGUCUGCAGUCGAUACGGGCAAACUAGAGUAUUGCAGGGGAGACUGGAAUUCCUGGUGUAGCGGUGAAAUGCGCAGAUAUCAGGAGGAACACCGGUGGCGAAGGCGGGGUCUCUGGGGUAGUAAACUGACGCUGAGGGAAACGAAAAGCGUGGGGUAGCGAACAGG
rnacentral:rRNA from 1 species